AGAGUAAUUUUGCUGUUUGACAGUUUUACAGGAUUUUUCACGAAAAGUAUUGGAUCAGAGCUAAUAUCGAUUUCGAAAUCAAUGACGACGGAAACCCCUGGAUACCAAGUUUCAUAGCAAUAGGCGUAUUCGCCAUAAAACUGAAAGUAUGAAAAGAAUAUACAUUAUAAGUUUGCCUAAAGAAUUUUGCUUAGCAAACAUAAGUAUUUAAAUGAUUGUUAGCUUUUUUCUGAUACAUUUGCAGAUCUAAUAAGUUAUUUUAAACUUUUCAUAUUUUCAUAUUUUGCAAUCAGCUGACAUCGAUCAGCUGUUUAUCCUGCUGGCAAAAAUUUUUCCAGCAGAAACUAGCAGCUUCCCAUCAAAAUGAAAUGCCAGUUUUGCCUUUCAAUUUCCGCUACUUUGCUGGAUUUUUGUGUACGAGAACAGCAAAGCCUGACAGGUUUUGAUAGCUAU